rnacentral:rRNA from 1 species
CCCAGACUCCUACGGGAGGCAGCAGUGGGGAAUAUUGCACAAUGGGGGAAACCCUGAUGCAGCGACGCCGCGUGAGCGAAGAAGUACCUCGGUAUGUAAAGCUCUAUCAGCAGGGAAGAAGAUGACGGUACCUGACCAAGAAGCUCCGGCUAAAUACGUGCCAGCAGCCGCGGUAAUACGUAUGGAGCAAGCGUUAUCCGGAUUCACUGGGUGUAAAGGGAGCGUAGACGGCGACGCAAGUCUGGAGUGAAAGCCCGGGGCCCAACCCCGGGACUGCUCUGGAAACUGCGGCGCUGGAGUACGGGAGGGGCAGGCGGAAUUCCUGGUGUAGCGGUGAAAUGCGUAGAUAUCAGGAGGAACACCGGUGGCGAAGGCGGCCUGCUGGACUGCGACUGACGUUGAGGCCCGAAAGCGUGGGGAGCAAACAGGAUUAGAUACCCGAGUAU